AAAAACUUUGCUCCUACAAGAGUGAAGUGCAGGGGCUUUGGGAUAGUGAGGAAAAUAAAGCCCAUACACUUUGACCCUUUAGGAGAGUUG
rnacentral:pre_miRNA from 8 species